UACGAGGGGUGCAAGCGUUGCUCGGAAUUAUUGGGCGUAAAGGGUAGGUAGGUGGUCUCAUUUGUCUGGGGUGAAAGCCUUGAGCUUAACUCAAGAAGUGCCCCAGAAACGGUGAGACUCGAGUCCUGGAGAGGUGAGUGGAAUUCCCGGUGUAGCGGUGAAAUGCGUAGAGAUCGGGAGGAACACCAGAGGCGAAGGCGGCUCACUGGACAGGUACUGACACUCAACUACGAAAGCGUGGGGAGCAAACAGG
rnacentral:rRNA from 1 species